rnacentral:rRNA from 1 species
UGGUGAUGAUGGCGAAGAGGUCACACCCGUUCCCAUACCGAACACGGAAGUUAAGCUCUUCAGCGCCGAUGGUAGUUGGGGGUCUCCCCCUGUGAGAGUAGGACAUCGCCAGGCU